CCAUAGGGCAUGGUGUUUCCUCAAUGUAGAGAGUGUGGCACCGGGGGAACAGCCGAAUAGCCACCAUCGUAGAUCGUCAUGUGCGCCCUUGCUCGAUGUCCCGUGUGCGGCUAGGAUGGUGCGCCGGGGAGUGGUGAUCUUGGCCAGCGACAACUCGAGUGCGGGGAGUCAUUGGGGCACGAUGAUUUCUUGUCGAUGUUGAAGAACUGCCACCGAGUCGUUGUUCUCCAUUGACUACACGCGCUGGUGUUCGAUUUUAGUAAGAACCUACUCUCUCUAACUCGCUAUGACCUGAGCAUCGAGUAGUGUGUUCCAUACUAGAUGAUAAAGCACUGGAACCGCGCAUCUGCGUUCUCCGGCGUGGGCUCGCUACGUUACUGGGCGGCGCCACCGACUGAAGCUGGGGGAGGAAGACGGGUGUCUAAGAUUAGAUCCUAGUUAGCCUUUCAUUCCAUCGAAGCAGAGUCGUAGAUCUUUUAUCCGAUGAUGCGGAGCAAAUCAAGCAAUCAUAAAAUCUUGAUCAUAGAUCUCGGAUCUGAGGGCCAGAAUCGCGUAUCGGUUCAAUAGAUUGUGGAUAUAGUCUGAUCCAUUGGAUGGGAAUCAGUCGACUGUAGUAUAAGGGUACCCCUUCAGCCGAGCAAACUUGUUAAAGUGUUCCUAUGUUAUUACGCAUUCAACCCACCAUCCCCAUAGUAAAAACGUCGCAAAAGAGUCCUUGUCUUUGAAAAUUGAACCCUAAGUUAUUGGAGUUUAUUACCCGCAGUCCAGGAAUUAGGAUUAACUCUAGAAAAUGAUUUUGAUAUAAAAAUAAACCUAAAAAUCUUAGAUGAAUCAUAACUUGACCAUUUUAACUCCGAUUUAGUCCAUUCCAGUUGCAUUAGCUUCGUAAUAUUAUUGCCUACGCUUUUUGUAACAUUAUUUUAUCAGGUAACAUGUUAUCAGAAAACUAUUGGUUUAACCGAUGCUUAGUAUAUUAAUCUUGCUAAACAAAGAUAAUCUAUCUAUAGUUAUAACCUAACUAAAAUAUGAUCCAUAAUCAAGUUGUAACUUGGAUUAAGGUUUAAUAACUAUUUCAUUGUAAUAUUUUCUCACUUGAUUUAUAUUAAUUAACAUAGAAUAUAUAUUUCUUAUUUAAUCUCCUAAGAACUGCAGAAAACUAUAUCUUUUUAACUGUAACUCCGAUUUUAGUGAUCCUCGAACCUACAAUCUCUUAGCAAUGCAUGGAAUAUUCUUAAGUAGUUUGUUCUUGUACUUUGGUGUAUUGUUACCAUACCCAUUAUUUUCUUGAAUGUAUGUGUUGCUAUGAUAGAAGCGAGGUUGCGAGUCACCUGAAGACUCACUUGGUGAAGUGCCUGGAAUCUCAAGUCACAUGCAAGUUGUGCCCUUGAUCACUCUUCUUUACCUAAUAAUGUUCUUGUUAAUCACUGUGACAUGCUUAGGUUAAUUUGAUGGGACCUAAUAGGUUUCCCUAAUUUUGUUUACCCCACCCCUUGCAAACAAAUGAACUAUUGGGUAAAUUCGCU
rnacentral:lncRNA from 1 species